rnacentral:misc_RNA from 1 species
UCUCACGGCGCAGUUCAUCCGCUGCACGGCAGAUGGCCGCGAAGUCAUCACCACGCGCCCGAAACAGACGGACGAUUUCUGCUUCGCCCAGCGUGACUCCGCGCUGCGCUUUCGCCAACACCUGUCCAAGGUUCGCGGAUGGUGUGGCCGAGGGCGCUCUUUGAAUCCAGCCGAGUUCACGUGAAGGCAAUUGCCCGACGUGGCCGGGGCACC